GUGGGGAAUAUUGCGCAAUGGAGGCAACUCUGACGCAGCCAUGCCGCGUGCAGGAAGAAGGCGCUACGCGUCGUAAACUGCUUUUAACCGGGAAGAAACCCCUGGACGUGUCCUGGGUUGACGGUACCGGAGGAAUAAGCACCGGCUAACUUCGUGCCAGCAGCCGCGGUAAUACGAAGGGUGCAAGCGUUAUCCGGAUUCAUUGGGUUUAAAGGGUGCGUAGGCGGAGCGUUAAGUCAGUGGUGAAAUCCUGCAGCUUAACUGUAGACUUGCCAUUGAUACUGGCGCUCUUGAGUGCGCUUGAAGUGGGCGGAAUGUGCCGUGUAGCGGUGAAAUGCUUAGAUAUGGCACAGAACACCAAUUGCGAAGGCAGCUCACUAAGGCGAUACUGACGCUGAGGCACGAAAGCGUGGGGAUCGAACAGGAUUAGAUACCCUUGUAGUCC
rnacentral:rRNA from 1 species